CGGUCCUAAGGUAGCGAAAUUCCUUGUCGGGUAAGUUCCGACCCGCACGAAAGGCGUAACGAUUUGGGCACUGUCUCAACAACAGACUCGGUGAAAUUGUAAUUCCGGUGAAGAUGCCGGAGACCUGCGACAGGACGGAAAGACCCCAUGGAGCUUUACUGUAGCUUGACAUUGGGUCUGGGUACUACAUGUACAGGAUAGGUGGGAGGCUUUGAAACCAGGACGCCAGUUUUGGCGGAGCCAUCCUUGGGAUACCACCCUUGUAGUACUGGGACUCUAACCAUAGGCCAUGAAUCUGGUCUUGGGACACUGUCAGGUGGGCAGUUUGACUGGGGCGGUCGCCUCCCAAAAGG
rnacentral:rRNA from 1 species